UUUCAGGCUCUGAACGGCUGGAUGACUCGGGAAUGCAAGUGAAACGAGGCUAUGCUAACUGCUGAGAGCAUGGCUUUGGGGGUCUGGAAAGGAGCCUAAAGCCCUGGAUGCUUUGGCCCAUGUCUGUGACCUAUCACAGAUUCCAUGCAUUUCCUACGUGCUGUGUCUGUCUCUGGACUGAGAUCACCCAGGAGGCAGAGAGGAGGCUGGAAGGGUGGAUCUCACUGGGCUUGGCCGACUGGGUCCCAUCGCUGCCUUCUGUGUGGAAAGGCUAGGCACAGAGCACAGGGGAAAGCUUCAGAGCAUUUCAGCUGAUUUCCAUUCCAGGCAACUUUUGCUUCCCUUCAGCAGCCACCUGAGCAACAGGAUCUAAGCGCAGCUCAGCUCUGGAUUCAACAGAAGAGGACCAGGGGCUGGUUUCUGCUUCACUUUUAUACCUUCCCUGCCGCACCUUACUUCUCCAACAGAGGCUAUGCUUGUGGCUGAAGAGGCAUUUUUCUUGGCUUUAGGAAUAAUAAUAAUAAUCCUUACUUGCUUACAAUUGAUUCCAUAACCUUUCCCCUAGUCUAGUGGUCCUCAACCCUUUUAAACUGGAGGCCCCCCUCUGAAAACUCUAGCUCUUAGUCUUCACUCCUUCUCUGACUGCAGAAAAAGACCAGAGCAGUUUUUUUUCUGGUGCAAAGAUCUCAGAUCCCAAGAGGGCAGGAUGUUUUUGACCCUGUGGAUUCUUUUUGGAUGCCUCUGGGUUUAUCUUGUGAAUCAUGUUCGCACACCUCUCAGCACUCACACUGUGUGGCACCCUGGAAAGGAUCUCAAGGGUGCCAGGGCACCCUGCUUGUGAAUCACUGCUGUAGCCCCAGUGAAAUGCACUCAGGGCUGGGACUGGGAACAGGGCAAACAAGUGUCCCUUGCUCAAGGCACGCUUGACCAUGAGUUUCUCUGGAGGUGUACACGCACAUGUACACGUGGUUCUGGGCUCUGAAUAUGGGUCCUGCCAAGAACACAGCACCUACUUUAAACUGACUUUCUUGAGAGCUGAGGACACUCUUGUCUCACAAAGCUGGCCCUUCAAAUGGUGUUCACCUCAGCUACAAGCUUUCCCCAGCAGGUUCCAGCCAGAUGGACUGUAAACCAUUUAAAACAAGCACACAUGCACACACACACACGAGCAGCAGGCAGCCAAAAGUUAUGAAAAUUAGAUCCUUUAUUUAUAUUUUUUUUAUCACAAGUUGCUCUUCAGCGGUCAAUACAUACUAGAAUAAACUCUGUGAAAAUAUACACAAAAAAUACAUAUUUCCCAUGAAAUCUUCCUUUAUAAUAAAUAGAUGGGAACACGUGCGCGGCUGAUCGCUGUAAUGCUCCGUGUCUGUUUGGGUGUUCAGUCUGUUGAUUUAUUUUUAAUCUCUUGAAAGACUGGGGGAGUUCCUCAUCCCCUAAAAGGUCGAGAUAAAUAAUGCAUGAGGCAAUCCUCCCUCCUGAUUUUUUUCCCUUUUUCCUCGACAUUUCCCCCCCCCCCUUUUGCUAGAGAGUUCAGCCUAAAUUUCCACGCUUGCAUUCAGUGGUUACAAAGCCUACAAAUUAUACAAUGACUUCUAACCUGGACUUCUAACAAAACAACUUUUUUCCCCCCACCCCCCUAUGAUAAAUCAUAAGAGACAGAUGGCAAAAUAGGGGUGGGGGGGAGGAAAGAGAAGGACAGGACAAAAGGCAUUGUGACCAAUCUGGGAAACAGAACAAAGUGCACAUCAGAGAGAGAGAGAAAAGAAGUUUGGUUUGACAGGUGAAAUUCCCACAGCCUUCAGGCUGCAAUGGGAAGAAAGCAGAUGCCAUGCAUUGCAAAUCGGUGGGGAACAGGGUUACUGGGAACUGAAGGCAGAGGCUCAGACACAUUUCUUUCCAGAAGAAAUGAACAUCUCUGUGAGCAACCCAAGGUGAUGAGAGAGCAGGAACCAGUUGUGUCUCCCUUGCACAUUCACAUAAGAGCCCCAGAGGGUGCCGGGCUUGCCUACACUCCUGUCCCCAAGCCACCCUGCAUCCAGGCCACCCGGGACAUCCCCAGCACAGGCACUGCCCUUCUCAGCUGGCUUCACUACAGGUGGGGGGGGGCUGCUCCUAACCCUAUCUAGAGCCAGCUCAAGGGGGAGCCUCGCCCAUGGUUCCAGCCUCUCCGAGAAACUGCUGCACA